AGAUUCAUCUCUUGGUUGUCGUCGCUGUGAGCUUGGCCAUUGCCAUUGCAUGUGAGCCUGUCACCGGAGCCCCUUCUCUUUGUCUCUCUGAGUCUGUGACUUUUUCAAAGUGCUUCCAACUUUUACAUUAGCAAAGAUUCAAGAAUUGAAGAAUCUUGAAGAGGAAGUUAAGAGGAACCAAUCCUUAAAAUCUCUCUUGCUAUCUCCUUCUGGUGACUUUGUGAUUUCUUAUUAUGGAAAUAAAAUAGCUGUUUUUGAAUUCAAGAGCAAGAUGGUUGGGCUUUAUUUCGGUCGAGUUCAUAUGAAAGAUGCACUGACUUUACUUUCGGUCUGGUGGAGUUUUAUGACAAGUUAAGGUCAGAUGAAGAGAGCUUUGAGAUUGUGAUGAUACCUCUUGAUGAGUAAGAAGAAUCCUUUAAGAAAGGAUUGGAAAGUAUGCCUUGAUUGUCAUUGUCUUUUGAGGACAAGAACGGUGGAAAAUAAUCAAAAAUAAAGAUCGAAUACUCUUUUAUAUUAAUGUUGUAAUUUUUUUAUAAUGGUGUUAAAUUUAUAGUGA